rnacentral:rRNA from 1 species
CCUACGGGAGGCAGCAGUGAGGAAUAUUGGUCAAUGGACGCAAGUCUGAACCAGCCAUGCCGCGUGCAGGAAGACGGCUCUAUGAGUUGUAAACUGCUUUUGUACGAGGGUAAACGCAGAUACGCGUAUCUUUCUGAAAGUAUCGUACGAAUAAGGAUCGGCUAACUCCGUGCCAGCAGCCGCGGUAAUACGGAGGAUUCAAGCGUUAUCCGGAUUUAUUGGGUUUAAAGGGUGCGUAGGCGGUCGGAUAAGUUAGAGGUGAAAUCCCGGGGCUCAACUUCGGAAUUGCCUCUGAUACUGUUCGGCUAGAGGGUAGUAGCGGUAGGCGGAAUGUAUGGUGUAGCGGUGAAAUGCUUAGAGAUCAUGCAGAACACCGAUUGCGAAGGCAGCUUACCAGGCUACUUCUGACGUUGAGGCACGAAAGCGUGGGGAGCAAACAGGAUUAGAUACCCCUGUAGUC